CCCGCUGAACUUAAGCAUAUCAGUAAGCGGAGGAAAAGAAACUAACAAGGAUUCCCUUAGUAACGGCGAGUGAAGUGGGAAAAGCUCAAAUUUUAAAUCUGGCACCUUUGGUGUCCGAAUUGUAUUUGAUAGUGCUUUCUUGUGGCAAGCAUGAUGGCUUAAGUCUCUUGGAAAAGGGCAUCAUAGAGGGUGACAAUCCCGUCUAGGUCAUCAUUGUGAGUCAAUAUCAAGGAAGCUCGACGAGUCAGGUUGCUUGGGAAUGCGGCCCAAAAUGGGAGGUACAUUUCUCCUAAAGCUAAAUAUUGGCAAGAGACCGAUAGCGAACAAGUACCGUGAGGGAAAGAUGAAAAGAACUUUGAAAAGAGAGUUAAACAGUACGUGAAAUUGUUAAAAGGGAAACGAUUGAGAUCAGUGAUGUUCCUUCUGUUUCAGCUUGACCGUUUACGGUCUGGUGUAUUACGGAAGGAACAGGUCGACUCCCAUUGUUAGGUCUGGACAAGGCUUGCGGAAAUGUGGCUUCACCUUCGGGUGACGGCUUUAUAGUCCGCUUGAGAUACAGACUUGACGAUGGGCGAAAGGAACUACCUUUCCCGAGGACGGUAACCCGUUCAAGUCGACAAAAUGGUCUUAACCGACCCGUCUUGAAACACGG
rnacentral:rRNA from 1 species